rnacentral:rRNA from 1 species
CCUACGUGCGGCAGCAGUGAGGUAUAUUGGUCAAUGGGCGCGAGCCUGAACCAGCCAAGUAGCGUGAAGGAUGACUGCCCUACGGGUUGUAAACUUCUUUUAUAAAGGAAUAAAGUGAGGCACGUGUGCCUUUUUGUAUGUACUUUAUGACUAAGGAUCGGCUAACUCCGUGCCAGCAGCCGCGGUAAUACGGAGGAUCCGAGCGUUAUCCGGAUUUAUUGGGUUUAAAGGGAGCGUAGAUGGGUUGUUAAGUCAGUUGUGAAAGUUUGCGGCUCAACCGUAAAAUUGCAAUUGAUACUGGCAGUCUUGAGUACAGUUGAGGUAGGCGGAAUUCGUGGUGUAGCGGUGAAAUGCUUAGAUAUCACGAAGAACUCCGAUUGCGAAGGCAGCUUACUAAACUGCCACUGACAUUGAUGCUCGAAAGUGUGGGUAUCAAACAGGAUUAGAUACCCUAGUAGUC